rnacentral:lncRNA from 1 species
AGAUUGGUCAGUUGAAAAUUCUCAAUGUCCUAAACUUCAGGUCCAACAACUUAUCUGGAAAAAUACCAUGGCAAAUCAGCAACCUCACAAGCCUGCAAGCGCUAGACCUGUCAAACAACCAGCUCACAGGUGAACUCCCAUCCACAUUGAGUGACCUACACUUCCUUUCUAUAUUCAAUGUGUCUAAUAAUGAACUGGAAGGGCCAAUUCCAACUGGAGCACAAUUCGAUACAUUUACCAAUUCUAGCUACGGUGGGAAUCCUAAUCUGUGUGGCGCUGUACUCAGCGUCCACUGCAUCUCCGCAUCAAGACACCAAUCCUCCAUCUCACGAGAACACAAGUUGCAUCGUGCAAUUAUCUUUGGAUUUGUUUUUGGAGGACUUGCUGCUCUUGCAUUGCUGGCAUGCUUCCUGAUUGCAAAAUUGGUAUAUGAUGAUCACACUGAGAACUUAGUUCUCCUUCAGAGGCGGUAGCUUUACUGACUGUAUGAUGCUUUGAGCAUUGUGAUCUUAUUAACCCUUGUAGUUUCAUUCAAUUGAAUCCUAUAGUCCCAUGUACAAUUAUUAGACCUUUUUCUAGAAACUAGUACUUUUUAAUCAUUGUCUGUACAUUGUCCUUAUUGCCGCCAAUUUUGAUAGUUGAUAUACUGACCAGAAAUAUCUUGUAUUAUAUAUUUAUAAAGUAAACUGAGGUUCUCAAAUCAACUCAGCGUGCACAAAGGGACACCUAAAACAAUUCUCUAGACUAGAUGCCGCAGUGCCAAGCUGCUACUGCAGUAAAGCUAGCAUUAUUAGCACAUAACCUAGCUAGUAAAUGUACAUGUAUCUAUAAAGAUUUGGUGGUUCUUAAGCACUAUUAUUUGUUAAAGAGUACUCUUUGUUAAAUCUUCAGUGUGCGAAUCCACCACAUUACCACAAUCUCCAAAAAAAAAUCAUACAGCAACAAGGGGAUUCAAAAUGCACUCUAGAAUUUAAAAAAAAAAAGACGCAGUUUUACCUCGCAGGCUCGAAGCUUUUGACGUUGCGCACGCGCCGGCGUCGGCAGCAGGACUGCAGGAGCAGCGAACGCCCAGUCGCCGCCAUCGACUGUACCCCGUGGCAUUGAGGGGAACCGCCGCUUCAUUCCAUUCCGCGAUCCUUCGGCACUGCGCGUCGCCGAGUGGAGCCGGUACACGUGCCGUGCGUCUCCAUCCCGGAGCGCAGGCGAGUUGCGGCUCCGCCGGCGGCCG